rnacentral:misc_RNA from 1 species
UGCAAAUCGCUUGUCUAACUUGGGUA